UGAGGAACAUGACCUUCGGCGGGGGAUAGCCGACCCAACGGCCGGGUAAUACCGCGUACGACCUUUCGGGGACAUCCCCGGAUGGUGAAAGCAGCAAUGCGCCGAUGGAGUGCCUCGCGGCCUAUCAGCUAGUUGGUGAGGUAACGGCUCACCAAGGCAACGGACGGGUAGCUGGUCUGAGAGGAUGGCCAGCCACAUUGGGACUGAGACACGGCCCAGACCUCCGUACGGGAGGNAGCG
rnacentral:rRNA from 1 species